UACGGGAGGCAGCAGUAGGGAAUAUUGGUCAAUGGGGGAAACCCUGAACCAGCGACGCCGCGUGAGUGAAGAAGUAUUUCGGUAUGUAAAGCUCUAUCAGCAGGGACGAUAAUGACGGUACCUGACUAAGAAGCCCCGGCUAACUACGUGCCAGCAGCCGCGGUAAU
rnacentral:rRNA from 1 species